UACGAAGGGGGCGAGCGUUGUUCGGAAUCACUGGGCGUAAAGGGUGCGUAGGCGGGUUUUUAAGUCAGGGGUGAAAUCCUGGAGCUCAACUCCAGAACUGCCUUUGAUACUGAAGAUCUUGAGUCCGGGAGAGGUGAGUGGAACUGCGAGUGUAGAGGUGAAAUUCGUAGAUAUUCGCAAGAACACCAGUGGCGAAGGCGGCUCACUGGCCCGGUACUGACGCUGAGGCACGAAAGCGUGGGGAGCAAACAGG
rnacentral:rRNA from 1 species